CCAAAGAAACCUGCUCUAUAGUGUUUCUGUCAAGCUGGCUGCUGCCAGACCUAGAUGGUGUCUCACUCUCUAGUGCAGCAGCAACAACAGGUGUGCCUCAUCAAUCCUCAGCCGGAACUAGGAGCAGGUGGAGAUGGUCUAAUCAAGCACACCCUGCACUUAGUGACUCUGGAGAGUGGUAAAUAAAAUCAAUCCAAGCCAUAUACAUUUUACCUAAAUAUUGCAGUGAGCUAUGGAAUUAUAACGCAAUGGGUAAAUUAUACACUUCUUACCCAUUUGUUAACAUUAACUAUAGCAUAGAAACAUGCAGUAAAAUACACCCCAAAACCGUGAGUCCUGUGCUCCAAAUUGCACAUGCGUCGAACCGCGUUUUUGACUGAGCGAAACAAGGAAUUAUGAGACUUUCUUCUGGCUGCCAUCUACUUGAAGAGCACAUUUGAAUGUGCUUGCGCUGCCGCCGCUGCUGUCAACCUUCAACACAACUGCAGGUAAGUUUCAAAGAUCAGGGCUUUCCAUAAGUGCUGGCUUAAAAGCCAGCUACUCAUUUAUAUUUGGGUUAUUUUUCGUGUGAUGCGGUGCGUAGUUGCACGCGCAGUCCUUCACCGGAGUUUCCUUUCAAAUUUAAGCGCGAGUCCCGCCGUGACACGGCUUUAUUUCCACCAGAGAGAGAGAAGGAAAGGGAGUAGUGGGUUAUUUAUCGGAGUUAAACUAGUUUGCAACUUGUUGAGAUAACUAUGAAACUCUGCUGGGCGCUGUGAGGUUUAUCAAUACAAAUGUCUCCUUAUUCAAUCCAUCAUUUUCUCGGAUGGUUAGAAUCAGUGAAAAGAGCCAUUGAAUUGAAAAUUAAAAUGGACACAGCACAUCAUGUUUUCAGGUGGCCUUAAUAUAGGAUUUAGUCACUGACAUAAUUAUACUGUAAAAACCUCUGUAGCAUGCUUCCUACUCUUAACUUAAAUAGAUGAAGAAAGUAAAUAUGUAAACAAAGAACUGUAGCAUUAAUCUUUGAAAUGUCAGUAAGUGUCUUGGUUUUUGAGGAAUAUGGCAUUCAUGUAUGUAAAUCACUCCCUGCUCCACUAACAGUCCUUUCACUAAAUUGUAUCUCCCUACAGACACAGAGCAUUAAAAAGAAAAGGGAUGCAGUUAUCUGCUGUCUUAUCAGCUACCUUGGUGAAAGACAGGAAGAUCUUUUCCAUGACUGCCAGGAACGUGAGGACUACAGACAAAACUAUGAAGGUGAUCGUGAUGCACAGUGUCAUGGCUGAGGAGGAUCCAUCAGAUGUGUCGAUUGUGAUUGAGGGAAACCAGGUGAUGGAAGGCUGUGGAAGCCGAACAAAGGCAUGUGUGCUGCUGAUGGGACUCGUAUGCCCUCAACCUGGAAUAUCCGAAGCAGCUGAAGAACACAUUUGAAGCUUUUCAAAACUUUUUUUUGGAACUUGACGGGGCAAAACUACUGAAGAAGGUCCACAGCCUCAAAAAUAAACUGAUGCAAUAGACCCAGAUUUCCCCUUUUGCACCAUGAAGAUUUUCCGGUCGGACACUGCUAAAUGGAGUUGCAAUGGAGUAGUUUUUUUCUUUUCUUUGUUGUCCCCUGUUCCCUCCUUUGCUCAACACAGACCCACCCACAUCAACAGACACGGGCACAUAGACACAAAUCUAUUUACAGUUGGAUACAACCUCUCAGCCCACUCAAUUGCUCUGAUUUCACCAGAUUGGCAGGAAAGGAAAACCAAUAGAAAAUGGUCAGUCUGGCCAAUGCCACCGUGUGUUGCCUGAGGAGUUUUGAUCUUUCUCUACCCUCUUUUCUUCGAAUUGUUUUAUUCUUAUCCUGAGAGUGAGAGCAAGCAGAAAAACUAAACAAUGUUGGUGUUCUAUCUUUAUCCAGAUGUUUGAUACAGAAACAACUUUAUAGUUUGUGUGUACUUUUAAAAGGGCUCUGAAAGCGUUGUUUGCAGAAGCUACAAACAUUUGAAGCAGUUAGCUUUGGCCGUUUUAAAACGGGUUUAUUCAUUGAAAUGUGUUUGAUAAUUUGGUGCAUCAUUGCUGCAUAUAAAAACAUUUGUUUCAUUAUUGAAUGUACAAAUGCACCUGGAUUGCAGAUUAGGUUGGUCGCUGUUGAUCCCGUAGAGUUUUGCCCAAAUCUUUCUCCAUUUUUCUCUUUUUUGAUCUCCUCACAAUCGAGCCAGGAUGUCCCAAAACAUUUUAUUGAAACAGAUUUUUUUUCGAGUUAUAAAACUGGUCCAAUAAAUGUAUGAAGCUGUUGUGCUGCACUUUAUGCUUUUCUCCUGAUAUUUGUGGAUUGUCAUUGAGAUGACAAGCAUUUCACUUUUUUUUGAGGGUGGGGGGUACAUCUUACUUUCCAUAUAAAAGUAAUCUUUGUUAACUAAUAUUAAGUCAUUUUAAUUAGUAUUUCUUGGGUAUUUAUCAGUAAAUAUGAGUUAACUUUUACCUUAUUUCAAUGAGGAAGUACCUGUAAAUAGAUGCAGCAAUGUAAGGUAAAUUUUACCCAAUUUAUUUAGGUAAUAGUUUUUUACUUUGUUUUUAUUAUUAAUAUAUCAAAGUAAAUGUAACCCACAAAUGUCAAUGCAAAUUGUUACCUCAAAUUUAUUGGGUAAAUUCUAUAGAUUAGUUUUUAGUGUGCCUCAAUAUAACCAGAUGCCUCAAAACUCUCGCGCCAGAUCGUGACACAUCAGAUAGGUCUGAGUUGUCAAUAAGCAAGUUUGUCUGAACCAACAUUCUGUACUAAUCUUCGUUGUUCUCUUCUAGUUUUGGUUCCACCUGCUCCUAGUAGAGUCCUCUACGCCUGAUUCUGGUCUCCACUUUGGUAAAAAGGGAAAUCUCUCCAGGCCAUUGUAAGUAAAGUUUAUUUAUAUAGCACUUUUCACAGAUAUAAAAAUCACAAAGUGCUUUACAUUCAAAGAAAAGAGACGUUAAAAUAAGCCUCCAUGAUGUAAAGACACACACCCUUGGGUGUCUCCUCCAUUCACCUAUUGUCUGUUACCCCCCCCCCCCCCACCACCUGGCCCUGCACGCUGGCUUCCUCCACUGUGAAUCAUCCUGAGCAUCAGUGAGAAUUCGUGAGUUGGUUAGUUUGGCCGUAGUCUCUGCUCUUGUACAGAGCAUCGUUCAGAGUAUUCUUUAUUUGUAGUAUUCACUCAAACCUUGUGGUUUAUAGUAAAUUGGUUCGUUUUAUAGCAGUUAAGUGUCACCUACCGUGAAUAGGAAUUAUUUGGUGUCAUUUCUUUGUUGUUGUAGUUUCCAGCCACGAGUAGUCUGAGUGUUUGGAGCCCAUUGUCUCCAGUUCAGUUUCCUGUGUAGUUGCCAUCUUGGUUUGUAGUUUCUUGGAACAGCUGUAAAAAAGCAAAUUGUGUUGCAUUCAAAGACCGUCGGUUAUUUCCUGAGCUAACCCAACAUUGUAACUUUUUCACGGUCUACUACACAUUAUUUCAUCAUAUGGCAUGUUGGAAAAAUGGCAUUUUGACAUACUAUGGUGUUAAUGUUGGACAAAAUUCAUGUUUUUUUUUGUUUCAAAGAAAGGUGCUCUAUAGUGUUAACAGCCGACUUUACAUUAUUUAAUUUUGCAGUGUUUAUCUUGCAGUGUGUUUUGCAUUGUACAUUAAUCUUUGGCAGUAUACAUUUAUUUGUUUGAAAUACUAUACUAUGGCGUUUAUUUUGAACAAAGUUCAUUAUCACUUUUUUCUAAAGAAAACUGCUCUAGAGUGUUUUUCACAGCCUACUUUACCUUAUUUAAUAUUGCACUGUUUGCAUUGCAGUGUCUUCUUUGCACUGUGCGUUAAUCUUUCGCAGUGUACAUUUAUUUGUUUGAAAUACUAUACCAUGGUAUGUACUUCUGCCAAAACUCAUUAUCACUUUUUCCAAAGAAAACUACCCUACAGAGUUUUUCACAGCCUACUUUACAUUAUUUCAUCUUGCAGUGUUUGUAUUUUUGUUCGGCAUACUAUACUAUGGCAUUAAUAUUGGACAAAAUUCAUGAUCACUUAUUUCAAAGAAACCUGCUGUAUAGUGUUUCUAACAGCCUACUUUACAUUAUUUCAUUUUAGUGUGUUUUGCAGUGUGUUUGUAUUUUUGUUUGACAAACUACACUGGUGUUUGUUUAGGACAAAAUUCAUGUUUUUUCAAAGAAAAUUGCUCUGUACAGUUUUUCACGGUGUACUUUACAUUAUCAUACAGUGUCUUUAUGGCAUGCUGGGAAAAUGGCAUUAUUUCGACAUACUAUGGUGUUAAUUUUGGACAAUAUUUGAUUUUUUUUUUGUUUCAAAGAAAACUGCUGUUUUCAACAGCCUACUUUACAUUUCAUUUUACAGUGCGCGUUUGUGUCUGGCAGUGUGCGUUUGUGUCUGGCAGUGUGCGUUUGUGUCUGGCAGUGUGCGUUUGUGUCUGGCAGUGUGCGUUUGUGUCUGGCAGUGUGCGUUUGUGUCUGGCAGUGUGCGUUUGUGUCUGGCAGUGUGCGUUUGUGUCUGGCAGUGUGCGUUUGUAUUUUUGUUAGACAUACUAUGGUGUUUAAUUUGGACAAUAUUCAUGAUCCUUUUGUUCCUAAGGAAACUGCUCCAUAGUGUUUUUCAGUGUACUUUACAUUAUAUGGUAUGUUUUUAUAGCAUGAUUGAAAAAAUGGCAUUUCAACAUAGUAUGGUGUUAAUUUUGGACAAUUUGUGAAUUUUUUUGUUUCAAUGAAAACUGCUCUAUAGUGUUAAAAGUGUACUUUACAUUAUUUCAUUUUGCAGUGUGCGUUUGUAUCUUGCAGUGUGCAUUUUUGUUCGACAUACUAUACUAUGGCGUUUAUUUUGGACAAAACUCAUGAGCCUUACGUUUCAAAGAAAACUGCUAUAUAGUGUUUAACAGUUGACUUUACUACAUUUCAUUUGGAAGUGUGCAUUUGUAUUUGCCAAUGCGUGUUUGCAUCUUGCAGUGUGCGUUUGCAUCUUUGUUUGACAAACUUUACUAUGGUGUUUAAUUUGGACAAAAUUCAUGAUCCUUUCUUUUUUCCCCCAAAGGAAACUGCUCUAUAGUAUCUUUUCACAGCCCACUUUACAUUAUUUCAUCGUGCAGUGUGCGUUUGCAUCGUGCAGUGUGCUUGUGUUUUGCAGUGUGCAUUUGCAUGGUUGAUCAAACUAUACUAUCGUGUUUAUUUUGGACAAAAUUCUUUUUUCAAAGAAACCUGCUGUAGUGUUUUUCACAGCCUACUUGACAUUUCAUCUUGCAGUGUGCUUUUAUAUAUUUGUGUUUGACAUACUAUGGCGUUAAAUUUGGACAAAAUUCACCAUUUCUUUUUCCUCCAAAGAUGACUGCUCUAGUGUUUGUCACACUGUACAUUACAUUAUCAUAUGGUGUCUUUUUGGCAUGUUGGGGAAAAAUGGCAUUAUUUCGACAGUAUGGUGUUAAUUAUGGACAAAAUUUAGGAUGACGUUUUGUUACACAGAACUGCUCUACUUUUUGAAAGUAUACUUAACAUUUCAUUUUUGUAUUUGUGCUUGACAUACUGUACUAUAGUGUUUAUUUUGAAUAAAAUUUCAUGACUUUUUGUCAAAGAAAACUG